UUGAUAUAUUGAUAUGGUACCUCAGAAUAAUUAAGAAUUAAUAGUCUAAUAGUAAAUUAAUAAAUUUAAAAUGAAUAAACCUUAGGGUUUAGAUCUUAAUAUUGUUCUGUAUUCUUUCAUAUGUGAUCAUAUACAUGUACAUUGAAUAUUAUUUUCGUAUACAUCUACAUCAUGUAUUAUUUAUAUUUAUUAUAUUGUGAACCUAUGAGUUAAACAUACUGCAGAAUACAACUUUUAACUUACUGCACUGAGCUAAAAAGUUUAAAACCAUGAGAGAGCAGGAUGUAUUGAUCUGUCAAUAAUCAAUAUAUUCUAUACAGUAUAUUCCUUUACUGUGAGUUAACAAUAUGGCAAUAUUGACCUAGCCAUUGAUAAGAAUGUGUACGAUACAACAAUGGGUAAAUAGUGAAUUGCCUCUUGCCUAAACAAAGUUACUGAGCGGAACAUUUCAAAUUGUUUGAUAUUUAUUUGGUAUUUUUG